CCGUAACGAGCGCAACCCUUGUCCUUAGUUACCAGCACGUUAUGGUGGGCACUCUAAGGAGACUGCCGGUGACAAACCGGAGGAAGGUGGGGAUGACGUCAAGUCAUCAUGGCCCUUACGGCCUGGGCUACACACGUGCUACAAUGGUCGGUACAAAGGGUUGCCAAGCCGCGAGGUGGAGCUAAUCCCAUAAAACCGAUCGUAGUCCGGAUCGCAGUCUGCAACUCGACUGCGUGAAGUCGGAAUCGCUAGUAAUCGUGAAUCAGAAUGUCACGGUGAAUACGUUCCCGGGCCUU
rnacentral:rRNA from 1 species